rnacentral:sRNA from 1 species
CUAUUUACAUAUCCACAUGGUCAUAGAGUAAACUAAGGAAAAAAACAUGAGGAUGUUAUUUAUUGUUGAUGAUAAUGUUGCAGAAGAAGAAUUUUUGAAGAACAUUUCAGAACAUAUGCAAAAUGACCAGAUAAACAUUGAAGCUCUUAGUUCUUCAUUGAAAAGUCAACUUAAGAAAUGUUGUAAACAAAAAUCCGUUAGUGCUAAGAGUAAAUCAGUUGAAAUUAAAACAGCCAUGCUGAAACACAUUAAGAAAGGUUGUGAGGAAGUGAAGAUAGACAAU